CCUACGGGAGGCUGCAGUGGGGAAUAUUGGACAAUGGGGGGAACCCUGAUCCAGCCAUGCCGCGUGUGUGAAGAAGGCCCUCGGGUUGUAAAGCACUUUCAGUGAGGAAGAACGCCUGGUGGUUAAUACCCAUCAGGAAAGACAUCACUCACAGAAGAAGCACCGGCUAACUCCGUGCCAGCAGCCGCGGUAAUACGGAGGGUGCGAGCGUUAAUCGGAAUUACUGGGCGUAAAGCGCGCGUAGGUGGCUUGAUAAGCCGGUUGUGAAAGCCCCGGGCUCAACCUGGGAACGGCAUCCGGAACUGUCAAGCUAGAGUGCAGGAGAGGAAGGUAGAAUUCCCGGUGUAGCGGUGAAAUGCGUAGAGCUCGGGAGGAAUACCAGUGGCGAAGGCGGCCUUCUGGACUGACACUGACACUGAGGUGCGAAAGCGUGGGUAGCAAACAGGAUUAGAUACCCCGGUAGUC
rnacentral:rRNA from 1 species